CAAGAACUCGUGGGGAUACAUCCGCCUCAAGCGCGACGUCGGCACCCAGGGCGAUCUCUGUGGCAUCACCAUGAAGAACUCCCAUCUGUGUCCGCGCCGCGCUAUCCAAGGAAGGCGAUUCAUACGCCCCGGAUCGACGCACGAUUUGCGCUCUCUACGGAACAUCGGCCUCCACCGCUCUUCUUCGGUGCCGAGGAGGAGAUCCCAGGUGCUCGAUGGAAUGCCCAAAGGACACACGGUGACCCCCACACCAAACACUUCUUCCUCCACCGCUCUUCUGUCCAAGCACUACAGGCUGCAUCCCAG
rnacentral:misc_RNA from 1 species